GCACUUCUGAAGAGUCCCACAAUAGGAUGAAACGGCCGUCCAGUGC
rnacentral:hammerhead_ribozyme from 1 species